CAGCCGCCGCGGGAACACGUAGGUGGCAAGCGUUGUCCGGAAUUAUUGGGCGUAAAGGGCUCGCAGGCGGUUUCUUAAGUCUGAUGUGAAAGCCCCCGGCUCAACCGGGGAGGGUCAUUGGAAACUGGGAAACUUGAGUGCAGAAGAGGAGAGUGGAAUUCCACGUGUAGCGGUGAAAUGCGUAGAGAUGUGGAGGAACACCAGUGGCGAAAGCGGCUCUCUGGCUUGUAACUGACGCUGAGGCUCGAAAGCGUGGGGAGCAAACAGGAUUAGAUACCCGGGUAGUCCCUGUCUCUUAUAC
rnacentral:rRNA from 1 species